rnacentral:rRNA from 1 species
AAGCGGUGGAGCAUGUGGUUUAAUUCGACGCAACGCGAAGAACCUUACCAGGGCUUGACAUCCCCUGACCGCGUAUGAAAGUACGUUUUCACCCUCGGGUGACAGGGAGACAGGUGGUGCAUGGUUGUCGUCAGCUCGUGUCGUGAGAUGUUGGGUUAAGUCCCGCAACGAGCGCAACCCCUACGUUUAGUUGCUAACGCGUGAAGGCGAGCACUCUAGACGAACUGCCGUUGACAAAACGGAGGAAGGUGGGAUGACGUCAAAUCAUCAUGCCCCUUAUGUUCUGGGCUACACACGUGCUACAAUGGCCGGUACAGACGGACGCAAAGCCGCGAGGUGGAGCAAAUCCUAAAAAGCCGGUCUCAGUUCGGAUUGCAGGCUGCAAUUCGCCUGCAUGAAGUCGGAAUCGCUAGUAAUCGCAGGUCAGCAUACUGCGGUGAAUACGUUCCCGGGCCUU